GGCCUCUGUGCAGGUGCGUCUCAGUCGGCCUGUGUCUGUCCUGGAGUCAUGAUCGCCCCGCGGAUCCUCUGCGUCGUCCUCAUCGCAGGUGUCUUUGGAAGGAAACCCGUUCCAGGGAAGCCAGUCGAGGGAAGCAGCUUCACCUUCAACUGCUCCUACCCUCCAGGCUACGAGACAAACGACAAAUACUUCAGUAAGGUCGGCCAUUUCUCAUCCGAGGAUGUCAUUCGCACAGGCGAGCACAACACUCUGGUCUGGAAUGGGAGAUUCUCCAUCUUGGAUGACACCAGGGGGCGCCACUUCAGAGUGAAGGUUGAUCCUGUGGAAGCGGGGGACUCAGGGAAUUACAUGGCAGGCAUAGAUAUUCCACUGUUACGUGAUCCGUACUGUGUGUUUGAAGUGGAAGUGCAGAGAGCCCCUCUUGGUGCUGGUCAACUGCAGAGAGAUGACAUCAUUCCUGCUAAUCAGACACAUGGUCACACAGAGAAAGAAGACCAUGCUGAUCAGAUGGCCAUCUGGCAGGACCUACAGCAAGCAACUGAUGUGAACUUCACCGCCUUGGACAAUCACCCUUCAGUAGGAGGAGAUGGAGGCAACCACCACUUUGAGUCCUGGUUCAGUCAUCUCAUCCUGGUGUGUGUGUGUGCUCUACUCAUCGUCUGCAUGUUCAGCCUUCUCCUACUCUUCAAAAAGCACUGCAACAAAUCCAACACUGGCCCCAUCUCACUGAGCAUCAGAGGGAGACCCACGAGCAGUGACAGUCAGGCAGCCGAUUACGAGACAAUGAACUCAGUCGAUGUCACCGCCACCCCCUCGACGGUUGCCGUGGAAACCAAGGCCCCCGCUGAAGCCUCCAUCCCGAUCUACGCUGAGGUCCAGCGCCGAAGCCACAUCUACCAGAACCUCCGUGCCGAAACACGCCUGGAAGCCAUCUACCACAGCCUGGAUAUCCCAACCAAUUAGCAUUUGCCUUGCUGUAAUGUCAAGAUCACAGUAACCAAUCAGAAUUUACGUCUUUUAAGUCAAGAAGCCAUCUACCACAGCCUGGAUAUCCCAACCAAUUAGCAUUUGCCUCGCUGUAAUGUCAAGAUCACAGUAACCAAUCAGAAUUGACGUCUUUUAAGUCAAGAAGCCAUCUACCACAGCCUGGAUAUCCCAACCAAUUAGCAUUUGCCUCGCUGUAAUGUCAAGAUCACAGUAACCAAUCAGAAUUUACGUCUUUUAAGUCAAGAAGCCAUCGACGACAGCCUGGAUAUCCCAACCAAUUAGCAUUUGCCUCGCUGUAAUGUCAAGAUCACAGUAACCAAUCAGAAUUUACGUCUUUUAAGUCAAGAAGCCAUAUACCACAGCCUGGCAGUGUUGUGCAAGUUCACACCUCUCAUGAACUAGUUCAAAGUUCAGUUCAUACAAGUAAACAUGAAUAGUUCACGUUCAUAGUUCACCAUUUCAAUUCUGAACUAGUUCAUAGUUCAGUUAAUUUCAUAGUUUUAAGGUGGAAAUUGAGAAUGAAAGACUUAACUUAUUUUUUUAAGAAAACUUUAUCCAUCACUAACCCUUGCCUUAAACUGUACUUCAUAUGUAUCAAUUCCUAAAAAAAAUGAUUAUUUUUAUUUUUUUUUAUUGUUGCUAAUUGUGCCUGUUUAUGUAUUCACACCCUGCAAACAAAAGGCACAACAAAUUAUAAUGCUAUGCCUUGCUAUGAAUAUGAACCAAUGCUAUGAACCAAUAAUUAGGCUAGACCUUAAAUUCUAUCAUUUAAAUGUAUAAAAUAAAUGUGUGGACAGAGGACAAAAGGGGACGUUCAGCGCAGGAAGACACGAAGACACGUAGUGCAAAGUCGAGUUAGUUGGUUUAGGUUAGGCUACAUCGCGAAAAUGUUACGGGCACUGAGCAACGACAUGGUGCAAGCAUUCGAUUUAGACAGCGUCUCUCCUCAGUAGAAGGAAAACAUUCCAUAACGUUUUAGCUAGACCUCAGAUAAUAUGAGCGUGUUCACCGUUCAAAUUCAUUAUUUGUCGUUAAGUUGCGUUCAGUUCAUCGUUCUCAUAAAAAUGAACGUGUUCAACGAACCUUGAGGCCGACAUUCACCAGGAGGACAUCUACAACCAGUCUGCACAUCCCGGCCAAUCAGCAUGCUUGUUCCUGCAAUGUCGAUAUUCCAGCAACAAAAGAGAGACUUCCCAAAGGAGUUUGAAAAGGUUCUGCUGAAGGGCAUGUUUAGGAUUAGGAUCGGAUCUUUCAGCCAUGUCAAAUAUAUGCUCAUACUUGGCAACUUCUGAGUUUUGAUUCAACUUUGCUUACACAUAGACAGGUUAACGUCAGAUAAAAUGUCUGAUUUAUGUUUAACUUCAACAGGAAAACCACUGUCUUUGUAAAUGUUUACCUGAAAAUCUGCAAAUACAUUUUUAUUAUAUCAUGUAUGAAAACAAACAGCAAAAAGAAAGAUGUUUUAGCUGAUUAGCGUUAUGGUUUGUAAUUAGUCUUGCAAUUAGUAUUUGUCUGUGUACACUCACUAUGCUUCUUUCUCCAGUGCAAUCAAUAAUCUGAUUUUGUCUACAACUGUACAACCACAGGACAGUGGUGUGUCCAUAAAUGAGCAAAUUAAACUGUCCUCCAAGU
ensembl:lncRNA